AUUGAACGCUGGCGGCAGGCCUAACACAUGCAAGUCGAGCGGAUGACGGGAGCUUGCUCCUUGAUUCAGCGGCGGACGGGUGAGUAAUGCCUAGGAAUCUGCCUGGUAGUGGGGGACAACGUUUCGAAAGGAACGCUAAUACCGCAUACGUCCUACGGGAGAAAGCAGGGGACCUUCGGGCCUUGCGCUAUCAGAUGAGCCUAGGUCGGAUUAGCUUGUUGGUGAGGUAAUGGCUCACCAAGGCGACGAUCCGUAACUGGUCUGAGAGGAUGAUCAGUCACACUGGAACUGAGACACGGUCCAGACUACUACGGGAGGCAGCAGUGGGGAAUAUUGGACAAAGGGCGAAAGCCUGAUCCAGCCAUGCCGCGUGUGUGAAGAAGGUCUUCGGAUUGUAAAGCACUUUAAGUUGGGAGGAAGGGUUGUAGAUUAAUACUCUGCAAUUUUGACGUUACCGACAGAAUAAGCACCGGCUAACUCUGUG
rnacentral:rRNA from 1 species